GGGGCUGGCUGCAUGCCAGGCUCAGCCUGUGCCAGGGGACUCUGCCAAGCCCAGGGGCAUUUUGGAACGUGAGGGGGGUCCCAAGAGAAUAAAUGCAGCCCUGGCUUCUUGCAGCCUCACCCAGCUCCCAGCGUACAGUGGAAGAUGAAAGCAGUUGCUGUCAUCGUGCUCCUGCUCCUCGCCUCCAUGUGCCUCCAGGCACAGGCUAGGGUGUGCAGACGGGUUCUUGCUCCUGGAUGACUUCGAGGUGGGAGCAAGCGGAGCUUUUGAUUUAGGACUUAAGUUGCUACGAGGAAAGCGGAACUCCCAUUCCCUUCCCCCUCUGCUGGCGCUCCCAGAUCCCGUGGUUGUGAAUCUUCCUAUCAAGGAUGAAACACUGGUGUGAACCCUGUGCUGUCCCCACCAUGUUCCAUAAGGACUUGAUCAUCCCUGCAUAUCGCCACCAGAUCUUCGAAAGAACAGUCCGUUUUCCCAUAAAGAAACACCAAUAAACACCCCCAGCAAAGCUCCUGCGUCCGUGUGUCCCUCGAUUCUUGCAUCCAUCAGUCCCUUUGUCCUUUUGUCCAUGUGUACCCAUUAUCCCUGCAGUAACUCCAUUAUUCCACGAUUCUGUGAUAUCCAGUGGGUUGAACACAGUACUGAAGUCGAGGAGAUGGCACUGAGUGACGCUGGGGGGGACAGCCCACCAGAGGUAGCACCCAGUGUCCUCUGGAGCCCUCAGCACAAUUUCUGACUCCUUUUGGUGCCGUUUGGAUGCAUUCUGUCCCUCCUGCACUCUCCCUGUGGGGCAGCUGCAGCCCCUGCCCUCU